ensembl:lncRNA
CACGCUCCGAAGCCUCGAUACAGAACGUCCCAUCACUACUCUUAGGUUUGUUAUGUAGUUCUCCCAGUUUAGGUUUCUUCAGUUAUUUGUCAUGCUUCACUGCUUGCUUGCCACUAUCCCACCUUGUAAAUAAACGUCACACUCUUCAUCAGUCAGCUGCCUGCAUUUUGGGUCCUUUUCAUUUCACUACACGACUGCUGCCCCAGCCGCGACAGUACGAGCCGACCAAACAUGGACCCAGCAGCAUCCGCACCUUCCCAGGAGUUUUGGGAGGAAUUAAUUGACUCUGUUUCAAGGUUGGUUAACCUGUGGCUCGAACGUGAGGGAGAGGAAUUUCACCGCGUUAUAGAAGCCAGGCUACAGCAAUUACUCUCUCCUCACCCCUGGCUACUGGACUCUCUUCACCCGCUCGCACAGGACUUCAUUCUGAACAAACUCCAUCUUCACCCUCCAGCUGCUACCGCUUCCCGACCCAGCCCGGUGGUGAAUGUUUUGCACCGCCGGCCGGGGAAUCUGCGGCCCGGCCCGCCGGAUGUGGAAUUACCCGGCCGGUCGGUGCUAUCCCUGAGAAGGAAGCGACGUUCACGCCGCCGACGCCCAUUGCCACAGCCGGGUCCCGAGACUUCUGAGUUGCCGGCUGUGUCGCCCUCAGCUCAGCCACCUAUUCAGCCAUCAUCUUCACCUACUCCUCCAGUACAGCAAGCUAUGUCUAUUCAACCCAUAAAGAACUGUUCUACGACCUCUAAUCCUAAGCAGAGAGACAAACCACACAAUUUUGUUAUCAGUCCUCAAAAGCUGGCCAGUUCAGAGACUGUGACGCACUCCAGGGCCCCCCCAGAGGCUGAGUUUCAGCCCUCAGCCCACUCUGGACCCCUGGAGGCUAAGAACCGAGCUGAGGACUGCACCCAGCUGUCGCUGCCUGAGCAGGGUCAGUGCUCCGUGCAGCUGCAGUCAGCCAUGUGUGUGCCAGGGGGCCCUGUGCCCGCUGGUUCAGUGACUGUUUCCACUGUGGGUUCUGGAGAGCCCGGCCAGCCCGUCCUCGUCUCCGUCUCCGCUGGAGGGCCCGAGGAGCCCGUCCAGCAACCUGCUUCUUCACCUGCUUCACCCACAUCGCCUGCAGCAGCAGCAGCUGCAGCUCCGGCCUCGUCCUCGCCUGGUCCAGCCUCUGCCUUGCCUGGUGCUGCGGGGGCCACGCAGCCUUUGUGUCCCAAACUGCCGCCUCGACAUCGGCAGUCAUCUGCCAGGCUGCUUGUUGGGCGUCAUCGCCACUAUGGGCGACCUCCCGAACGCCGCUGCUAUCUUCCGCGCGGCCGGCCUCCGGACUUGCCGUUGCCGUCCGCACGGGUGGCCCCUGAAGAUGAACUGUUCUAGACUCCUGAAUUGUCAGCCUCCGGGCCGGCCUCCUGAACUAUGUUUUGGGACCCUGUUCAGGGACGUGUGUGUGUGUGUGUGUGUGUGUGUGUGUGUGUUGGGCAAUUCAUUUGGAUCACUGGAGCUUGUUUUUUGUUUGGUUUUGGAGAAGAAGAGAGUGAGCGAACGGCAGAUGAUUGUGGAGUUUGAGGAACAUGGCGUAUGUGGAUUCCCCUCCCAACCUUUCCUUGGAGCCCUGGAUUCCCCUGCCUGCACUUCAUAUAUAUCGUGCACAUUGGUGACUGUAAAUAAACCUUUGACCCUGAAAAGCCUGCGUUUGUGCCUGAGUCCGUUCCGUCCGCCUUGACAGUUACAUGUAAUACAUUUGGACAACAAUGUUAUGUCAUUAGAUCCUCGGCUUGAACAAUUUGUUUUUCUAGUAGUUUAACAAGCCCUUUUUCAGAUGAAAAUAAUGGAAAAUGUACAUUUUUUUUUCAUGCAGUGUUGCUUCCUUGAAAUGGCUCUGACUAGACCCUAACAGUUUGGUGUUACCCACUUCCACAUCAAAUAUUUGCAGAGAAAACUGGGCAUUUACUUGAAGUGGUCUUUGCCCUUUGAAAGUCCAACAUUCUCUCUAAGUUUAGCUCUGAUUUGCUUCCCGUCAGCUGCUGAGAAAAACAUCAGGCUCUUUACCUGAUAAUGUUCAUCUUUCCAGCAGUUAAUUUUUUACUUUGCCUGCCUGCUGUUUGCUCUGUGUUACAGUACUUUUAUCAAAUUUACUGGACCUUCCAACUGUUCCAACCUAAUUUAACCCCGUUUCACUUUUUCACUGUACAUAAAUGCUCUGUGUUCACUUGGAGCUUUGCCACAAAGCUUGUUUUCAACAUCUUGGAUGA